rnacentral:tRNA from 1 species
UUGACUGUAGUUAAGUUGGUACGGCACUUGUCUUGCAUACAAGAGUCAUGGGUUCAAAUCUCAACAGAUAAC